rnacentral:rRNA from 1 species
UAUUAUGUUCAUUCCUAUAUCACAUAAUUAAUGCAUCAGAUCCCAUUAGAACUCCACAGUUAAGUGUUCUUGGGAUGGAGUAAUAUUGGGAUGGGUGACCUCCCAGGAAUUCCUAAUGUUUUAC